AACGCACGAGACCUGCGGACCUGCGGAAGGAUCAUUACCGAGUUUACAACUCCCAAGACCCCUGUGAACCUAUACCAUUACUGUUGCUUCGGCGGGUCAUUGCCCCGGGGAAAGGACGAGGUGCCGCCUAGGCUCCCCGGCCCGCCCCCGGAAACAGGCGCCUGCCGGGGGAAUCAAACUCUUCUGUAUUUUUUACUUUUACUGUUAUACUGUCUGAGUACAAAACUAUAAAUGAAUCAA
rnacentral:misc_RNA from 1 species